rfam:Rachicladosporium sp. CCFEE 5018 unplaced genomic scaffold Supercontig_40, whole genome shotgun sequence.
UUCUAUGAUGAUAUCUUCACGAUUUGUUCCGGCGAAAUACAUGAGCCACGAACUAAACAUGCAUCACCAUCUGAUC